AACGUAGGAGACGAGCGUUAUCCGGAUUUACUGGGCGUAAAGCGCGUGUAGGAGGCGCUACAAGUUGGAUGUGAAAGCUCCCGGCUUAACUGGGAGAGGUCGUUCAAGACUGUAGAGCUAGAGUAAGGCAGAGGUAGAUGGAACUCCGGGAGUAGUGGUGAAAUGCGUAGAUAUCCGGAAGAACACCAGAGGCGAAAGCGAUCUACUGGGCCUAAACUGACACUGAGACGCGAAAGCCAGGGUAGCGAACGGGAUUAGAGACCCCGGUAGUCCUGGCCGUAAACGAUGUAGACUGAGCGUUGGUUGGGUAAAACCAAUCAGUGCUGAAGCAAACGCGAUAAGUCUACCGCCUGGGGAGUACGGUCGCAAGAUUAAA
rnacentral:rRNA from 1 species